rnacentral:rRNA from 1 species
GACGAACGCUGGCGGCGUGCUUAACACAUGCAAGUCGAACGAAGAGCGAUGGACGCUUGCUUCUAUCAAUCUUAGUGGCGAACGGGUGAGUAACGCGUAAUCAACCUGCCCUUCAGAGGGGGACAACAGUUGGAAACGACUGCUAAUACCGCAUACGAUCUAAUCUCGGCAUCGAGGAAAGAUGAAAGGUGGCCUCUAUUUAUAAGCUAUCACUGAAGGAGGGGAUUGCGUCUGAUUAGCUAGUUGGAGGGGUAACGGCCCACCAAGGCGAUGAUCAGUAGCCGGUCUGAGAGGAUGAACGGCCACAUUGGGACUGAGACACGGCCCAGACUCCUACGGGAGGCAGCAGUGGGGAAUCUUCCGCAAUGGACGAAAGUCUGACGGAGCAACGCCGCGUGAGGGAUGACGGCCUUCGGGUUGUAAAGCUCGGUUAAUCGGGACGAAAGGCCUUCUUGCGAACAGUUAGAAGGAUUGACGGUACCGGAAUAGAAAGCCACGGCUAACUACGUG